GGUGAGCAGUAGCUAAUGAAACAAACACGUUGCAGUCUAGUCGGGUAUUGAAUGUGGUCCCAAUUUACAAUCGAUUAAGUAAUUAGCUGACCAGGGAACGCCCGAGUGACUAUUGUAACACUACAGAGAGUAGUCUAUGUUGGACCAGGGGGUCUGGGCCCUCACCAAUGGCUGUAUGAAUGGGCAAAGUCAUCGAUCACGUGACACCAUUCAUUCCAAGUGAAGAUUCAAUGAGUGUGUGAGAGCGGUAAACCCAACGAGGCCGACUGUAGACGAAAGUCGGUCAGCGCAACAGCAGAAAGUCGGACACUGUAGUGCCUUCAAACUCAGCUUUGGACCUCGAAGCCAGCUCAACUGCAUUUUUUCAUUGUUCCCUUCUAAUCAGGGGCUAUUUUUAUUUUAUUUAACCAGACAAGUCCGUUAAGAACACAUUCUUAUUUACAAUGACGUCCUACACCUGCCAAACCCUAUGGAACUCUCAAUCACAGCCGGUUGUGAUACAGCCUGGGUGUCUGUAGUGAUGCCUCAAGCACUGAGAUGCAGUGCCUUAGACCACUGUGCCACUCGGGAGCCCAUUUAGACCUGGAACACCAGGUGGGUGCAAUUCAUUAUCAGGUAGAAAACCAUCCGGCUCCGGACCUCAUAGGGUAAGAAUUGAAUACCCCUGCUGUAGUGGUUUUCCAACAGCAAAGCUCGGAUGAAGAUGGCAGUGUCAACAUAGCUGCUAUUGUUUAUAAAAUGUUGUCUGUAAAUGUUGAAAUAAACUGCCAUAUCAUACACUCACAAACAGGAAACAGUGUGUACAAUUCAUUGGUUAGAGAGUCAGGAGUCUCAAAUGUCACAAUGAUGGUGAAAUGUUGGGUUUAAGUGUGUUAAAAUCUUCCUAGAAGUCAGAGGAUGCACAGAUGGACAUGUCUUUAUUCACUUGGUCCUACUUUAAAUGAUGUUCAGCUUAUAAAGGCUUGAUAAACACAAAAUGUGUUACAAAUCCUCUAUAACUAUGUCAUGCUUUAUAAAAGGUUAAUAAAUGUGGCAUAACUGUGUGACAUAACCACCGAUGUCAAAUGUGACAUAACCCACUAUGUCAAAUAUGGCACACCUGUGUAUUAUAAAGGGUGGCAUAAGCACCUCUUAAUAAAGGCCUUAUAAAUCAUAUUAAAUUAAGGCUUCACGAAGCAUUUAUAACCCUGUCAUGCAUCUUGGUAGAGCAUUGCAACGCCAGGAUAUUGGGUUCGAAUCCCGGGAUCACCCAUACGUAGAAAUAUAUUCAUGCAUGACUCUUUACCAAUCCAUAUUCCUCAGGCAAAAAGUAAAUCCACCUUCAAGAAAAAAAUAACAGAACAUCUAACGCGAUAGACCAUGUGACUGGACAGGAAAUAGAAAGCAUCAACUGGAUGUUAAAUGUGUUUCCUGUCAGGUAUUUUAACUGUAUUGUCUACUUGUUGAAUGUUAGUGGUUAUUUGUAAUGUCUUGGUAAUUGUUGGACCCCAGGAAGAUUAGCUAGUGUUACAGCGUUAGCUAAUGGGGAUCCUAAUAAAAAGGACAAAUUACUGUAAGUCGCUUUGGAUAAAGGUGUCUGCUAAAUGUUUACCGUGUCUUCAGAAAGUAUUCAGACCCCUUGACUUUUUCCAAAUUGUGUUACGUUACAGCCUCAUUCUAAAAUGGAUUAAAUAAACAAUGUUUUGCAAUCUACACACAAUACCCCUUAAUAACAAACAGAAAACUUUUAUUUAUUCUUCAAAUUUUUGCACAUUUAUUACAAAUAAAAAACAAAUACCUUCAGUAUUCAUACCUUUGCUAUGAGACUUGAAAUUGAGCUCAGGUGCAUCCUGUUUCCAUUGAUUGUCCUAGAGAUGUUUCUACAACUUGAUUGGAGUCCACCUGUGCUAAAUUCAAUUGAUUGGACAUGAUUUGGAAAGGCACACACCUGUCUAUAUUAGGUCCCACAGUUGAUGGUGCAUGUCAGAGCAAAAACCAAAUCGUGAGGUCAAAUAAAUUGUCCGUAGAGCCCUGAGAAAGGAUUGUGUCGAGGCACAGAUCUGGGGAAGGUUACCAAAACAUUUAUGCAGCAUUGAAGGUUGUCAAGAACACAUCGGCCUCCAUCAUUCUUAAAUUGAAGAAGUUUAGAACCACAAAGACUCUUCCUAGAGCUGACUGCCUGGUCAAACUGAGAAAUCGGGGGAGUUGGGGAGGUGACCAACAACCCGAUGGUCACUCUGACAGAGCUCUGCGUGAAUGGGAGAAUGUUCCAGAAGGAAAACCCUCUCUGCAACACUCCACCAAUCAGGCCUUUAUGGUAGAGUGGCCAGACAAAAAAGGUCUCACGGGCUCCCGAGUGGCGCAGCGGUCUAAGACACUGCAUCUCAGUGUAAGAGGUGUCACUACAGUCCCUGGUUCAAUUCCAGGCUGCAUCACAUCCGGCCGUGUUUGGGAGUCCCAUAGGGCGGCACACAGCGUCUUCCGGGUUUGGCCAGAGUAGGCCAUCAUUGUAAAUAAGAAUGUGUUCUUAACUGACUUACCUAGUUAAAUAAAGGUUCAAUAAAAGACACAUGACAGCCUGUUUGGGGUUUGCCAAAAGGCACCUAAAAACUCUCAGACAAUGAGAAACAAGAUUCUCUGGUCUGAUGAAACCAAGAUUAAACUCUUUUGCCUGAAUGCCAAGCGUCACGUCUGGAAGAAACCUGGCACCAUCCCUACGGUGAAGCAUGGUGGUAGCAUGUGGGGAUGUUUUUCAGCAACAGGGACUGGGAGACUAGUCAGGAUCGAGGCAAAGAUGAACGGAGCAAAGUACAGAAAGAUCCUUGAUGAAAACCUGCUCCAGGACCUCAGACUGGAGCGAAGGUUCACCUUCCAACAGGACAACGACCCUAAGCAUACAACCAGGACAACGCAGGAGUGGCUUCAGGACAAGUCUCUGAAUGUCCUUGAGUGGCCAAGCCAGAGCCUGGACUUGAACCUGAUCGAACUUCUCUGGAGAGACCUGAAAAUAGCUGUGCAGUGACACUCCCCAUCCAACCUGACAGAGCUUGAGAGGAUCUGCAGAGAAGAAUGUGAGAAACUCCUCAAAUACAGGUGUGCCAAGCUUGUAGUGUCGUACCCAAGAAGACUCGAUGCUGUAAUCGCUACCAGAGGUGCUUCAACAAAGUACUGAGUAAAGGGUCUGAAUACUUAGAUUGGAACCAACAUGCAGUACCUCCAGUGGGAAGAGAGGCAAGAUCCAUUCAUCCACCCGCUCAGGGACAAGCUACACUAUUCACAGCCCUGUGUAAUGUUCAAUGUAAUUGUAUUGCUGUACUUUUUGAAACUUAAUGUAUUUGUAUUGUUUGAAAAAUGUACAAAU